rnacentral:tmRNA from 1 species
GGGGGCGACCAGGUAUCGACCGGGCAGAAUGAUCCAGUAGUCGCGUGCCGAGGUUGUCAGGCGGCCUCGUAAAACACCUGGCAAAACAACAACUGCCAAUAACCAAAUGGCAAUGGCUGCGUAACAACAGCCGCGUCCUGCCGUCUCUCGCCCGUGGGGGCGGCGGGGCGUAAAACAACGGGCUAGCCACCGCCUUUUGCCCGACGGGGCGGCAGCGAAACAACUGUUUGGGCUGGCCGAAGCGGCAUCCCGUCUACCGGAGGCUGCCAAGGCGAGACCUAAUCGGUAGACUACGCACGUAGAAGCUCCUGGUGAGCUGUCACGGGACGGGGGUUCGAUUCCCCCCGCCUCCACCA